GACGAACGCUGGCGGCGUGCCUAAUACAUGCAAGUUGAGCGAUGAAGAUUGGUGCUUGUCCCAAUUUGAAGAGCAGCGAACGGGUGAGUAACGCGUGGGGAAUCUGCCUUUGAGCGGGGGACAACGUUUGGAAACGAAUGCUAAUACCGCAUAACAACUUUAAACAUAAGUUUUAAGUUUGAAAGAUGCAAUUGCAUCACUCAAAGAUGAUCCCGCGUUGUAUUAGCUAGUUGGUGAGGUAAAGGCUCACCAAGGCGAUGAUACAUAGCCGACCUGAGAGGGUGAUCGGCCACAUUGGGACUGAGACACGGCCCAAACUCCUACGGGAGGCAGCAGUAGGGAAUCUUCGGCAAUGGACGAAGGUCUGACCGAGCAACGCCGCGUGAGUGAAGAAGGUUUUCGGAUCGUAAAACUCUGUUGGUAGAGAAGAACGUUGGUGAGAGUGGAAAGCUCAUCAAGUGACGGUAACUACCCAGAAAGGGACGGCUAACUACGUG
rnacentral:rRNA from 1 species